rnacentral:tRNA from 1 species
UGGUUCCGCCCGGGAUCGAACCGGGGACCUUUCGCGUGUAAAGCGAACGUGAUAACCACUACACCACGAAACC